rnacentral:rRNA from 1 species
AGCAGGCGCGCAAAUUACCCACUCCCGGCACGGGGAGGUAGUGACGAAAAAUAACGAUACGGGACUCAUCCGAGGCCCCGUAAUCGGAAUGAGUACACUUUAAAUCCUUUAACGAGGAUCAAUUGGAGGGCAAGUCUGGUGCCAGCAGCCGCGGUAAUUCCAGCUCCAAUAGCGUAUAUUAAAGUUGUUGCGGUUAAAAAGCUCGUAGUCGAAUUUGUGUCCCGCGCCGCCGGUUCAUCGCUCGCGGUGUCCAACUGGCGUGUCCGCGGGACGUCCUGCCGGUGGGCUUAGCUCGCGAGGGCGGCCCAACUGCAAAUCCCGCCGCGGUGCUCUUGACUGAGUGUCGAGGUGGGCCGGCACGUUUACUUUGAACAAAUUAGAGUGCUUAAAGCAGGCCAAAAUUUCGCCUGAAUACUCAGUGCAUGGAAUAAUGGAAUAGGACCUCGGUUCUAUUUUGUUGGUUUUCGGAACCCCGAGGUAAUGAUUAAUAGGAACGGAUGGGGGCAUUCGUAU